rnacentral:rRNA from 1 species
CGCGGCCUAUCAGCUUGUUGGUGGGGUAACGGCCUACCAAGGCAACGACGGGUAGCUGGUCUGAGAGGACGAUCAGCCACACUGGCACUGAGAUACGGGCCAGACUCCUACGGGAGGCAGCAGUGGGGAAUAUUGCACAAUGGGCGCAAGCCUGAUGCAGCGACGCCGCGUGGGGGAUGACGGCCUUCGGGUUGUAAACCUCUUUCAGCUAUGACGAUGCCUUCGGGUGACGGUAGUGGCAGAAGAAGCACCGGCCAACUACGUGCCAGCAGCCGCGGUAAUACGUAGGGUGCGAGCGUUGUCCGGAAUUACUGGGCGUAAAGAGCUCGUAGGUGGUUUGUCGCGUUGUUCGUGAAAACUCACAGCUUAACUGUGGGCGUGCGGGCGAUACGGGCAGACUGGAGUACUGCAGGGGAGAUUGGAAUUCCUGGUGUAGCGGUGGAAUGCGCAGAUAUCAGGAGGAACACCGGUGGCGAAGGCGGGUCUCUGGGCAGUAACUGACGCUGAGGAGCGAAAGCGUGGGGAGCGAACAGGAUUAGAUACCCUGGUAGUCCACGCCGUAAACGGUGGGUACUAGGUGUGGGUUUCCUUCCUUGGGAUCCGUGCCGUAGCUAACGCAUUAAGUACCCCGCCUGGGGAGUACGG